UACGGGGGGGGCAAGCGUUGUUCGGAAUUACUGGGCGUAAAGGGCUCGUAGGCGGCCAACUAAGUCAGACGUGAAAUCCCUCGGCUUAACCGGGGAACUGCGUCUGAUACUGGAUGGCUUGAGUUUGGGAGAGGGAUGCGGAAUUCCAGGUGUAGCGGUGAAAUGCGUAGAUAUCUGGAGGAACACCGUUGGCGAAGGCGGCAUCCUGGACCAACACUGACGCUGAGGAGCGAAAGCCAGGGGAGCAAACGGG
rnacentral:rRNA from 1 species